CGGCGGACGGGUGAGUAACACGUGGGUAACCUACCUAUAAGACUGGGACAACUUCGGGAAACCGGAGCUAAUACCGGAUAAGAUAUCGAACCGCAUGGUUCGAUAGUGAAAGAUGGUUUUGCUAUCACUUAUAGAUGGACCCGCGCCGUAUUAGCUAGUUGGUGAGGUAACGGCUCACCAAGGCAACGAUACGUAGCCGACCUGAGAGGGUGAUCGGCCACACUGGAACUGAGACACGGUCCAGACUCCUACGGGAGGCAGCAGUA
rnacentral:rRNA from 1 species